rnacentral:rRNA from 1 species
GAGUUUGAUCGUGGCUCAGAGCGAACGCUGGCGGCAGGCCUAACACAUGCAAGUCGAGCGCCCCGCAAGGGGAGCGGCAGACGGGAGAGUAACACGUGGGAACGUACCCUUCAGUUCGGAACAACCCAGGGAAACUUGGGCUAAUACCGGAUACGUCCGUAAGGAGAAAGAUUUAUCGCUGAAGGAUCGGCCCGCGUCUGAUUAGCUAGUUGGUGGGGUAACGGCCCACCAAGGCGACGAUCAGUAGCUGGUCUGAGAGGAUGAUCAGCCUCACUGGGACUGAGACACGGCCCAGACUCCUACGGGAGGCAGCAGUGGGGAAUAUUGGACAAUGGGCGCAAGCCUGAUCCAGCCAUGCCGCGUGGAUGAUGAAGGCCCUAGGGUUGUAAAGUCCUUUCGGCGGGGAAGAUAAUGACGGUACCCGCAGAAGAAGCCCCGGCUAACUUCGUGCCAGCCGCCGCAGUAAC